rnacentral:rRNA from 1 species
CCCUUAGAUGUUCUGGGCCGCACGCGCGCUACACUGACGAAUGCAACGAGCUUAUAACCUUGGCCGAAAGGUCUGGGUAAUCUCCAAAUUUCGUCGUGAUGGGGAUAGAUUAUUGCAAUUAUUAAUCUUCAACGAGGAAUUCCUAGUAGGUGCAAAUCAUCAGUUUGCAUCGAUUACGUCCCUGCCCUUUGUACACACCGCCCGUCGCUGCUACCGAUUGAGUGUCCUGGUGAAUUAUUCGGACCGACAGCAUCGGAAGUUUCUUCUGUUGCCGUUGGAAAGUCUUGUAAACCCUGACACUUAGAGGAAGCAGAAGUCGUAACA